rnacentral:lncRNA from 1 species
AUGUGUGACGAGGCCCCGAUGUUCUUGACUUUCCCGGAGAAGCAAAUAAAACAGUGUGAGCAGCCGCGGGUCCUGGAGUUCUUGGGUUUCACGGGGCGGGGAGGGCGCGGCCGGCCGGGGGCGGGGCCCCACCUGCGCCAUAAAGGGAGGCCGGGCCGGGCCCCGGGGAGCUGGCCUCUCCCGCCUGCCGCCGCGCACCCCUCGGGCUCACCCGGUGCCGUGGGUGGGGGCGUCAGUGGAGUCCGUCCCGCAUCUGCGUCCCAGCAGGUAAGGCCCCGGGUGAGGAGGCGGCACCCGGGGGUGACUCGCUCCCCGGGGACGGAAGGGGCCCCGCAGACACCCCCAGCUCCGCGGAGAAGCGGGUUCGCGGGAAGCGGGUGGAGGCACAGGGGAGGCGGCGUUUACCGGGGUUCCCACCCGGCUUCGACCCCACUGUGUGAUCCUGGAGAAGUCCUGCCCCUCUGGGCCUCGGUUUCCCCAUCUGGGCUUCAUGAGCCAGGACAGUCGGGGCCUCAUCCCCGCGGUGCCCCCAGCACCCUGGGUGACCCAGUCUCUGCCCUUUCGGGGCCUCAGUUUCCCCGCAUGAGCGGUGGGCUGGUGAGUACGGUGGCGUGCGUGAGAUGGGGCUCGCGUUCGGAUCCCAGCCCCACCCCUGACACUCGGCCCUCAGGCAGGACCGGGAGCUUCCCGUGCCUCAGUUUCCACACCUGCAUAACGGGGACAAAGGGAGCCAUGGGGGUGACGGGAGGAGAUGGUGGGGCUGUGCGCUCUGGGUUUUCACAGACCCACGCACGGCACGCGCUCAGCUGUAACUCCGGGCUGGGCCCUUUGUCCGGAUCCGUCCGUGAGUCCCCUCCUCUCGGCAGCCCUGCCGGGUCCGGGCUGGGGGCCCGUUUGAUGGAAGAAGAGACUGAGGUUCAGAGGGGCCCCAUGUUCAGCCAAGGGGCAGGUCAGGACAGAGCUGCAGCCGUGGGAUGGAGGCCCCAUCCGCCGUGUCCCCUCCCCGUGGACUGA